UUACUGAUCUCUUAAAAAAGAAAUCAGAGCGCGCUCUUCUUCCUCCCUCCAACAUCAAUGUAACCCUAACCCACAUCAACUCAGGCAUCAGACCAUCAUCGCGCUGCAGCUCACCAUGUAGGCCGAACCCAUUGUCGAAGAAAGAGUUUCUGGUGCCCCGUCCUUCUUCCCGAAAUCGUCGCUGCUUCCUUCUCCCCAAAAUCGUCGCUACGUCCUUCUUUCCAAAGUCGUCGCUGUGUCCUUCACUUCCGGGAGUCGCUGACUCUCUCCUCUACGCGGCGUCGCUGCUUCUCCCCUCUCUGCGGCGUCACUGCUUCUCCGUUCUCCGCGGCCUCCUUGCUUCUCCCCUGUUCUGCUUCUGCUUCGCUGCUUCUCCCCUGUUCUGCUUCUGCUUCACUGCUUCUACCUCGCUGCUUCUGCUUCACUGCCUUGGCUGAUUGUGGGUUGUGAUUCUCCUUCGCUGCUGCUGCUUUGCUGCCUUGGCCGUUUGUGGGUCUGUGGCCUAAGAGAUAAACAGUUGCUUCAGUUGAAGGCAGAGACGGCCCAAGAUCCCCCCGAAAAAAAAAGGCAAAGACAGACGUUCAUCUUAGCCGUUUCGAGAGCAGAUGGCGUCUUGAGAGACCACCGAUCCAGGGAUAAGUUGGAGCGCGGUUGGCAAUCUCUUUGACGGCAGCGGCCGCUUCAGUCAGUCCUUGUGGGCUUGUGGAGGAGUCUUCGUGGUGGUUCGUUCUAUUCAUAUAGAGUGUUUGCCUCUUUAAAACCAGAAAAAGGGAAUCAAAUAGUGCAUCUCUCUAUAGCUGCCACUAUCUUAGACAUUGAGCUACACUACAGUUGACAAAGUAAUGGACAAAACGUGGACUAGUUUACCAAGACAUACUGAGGGUUACCAACAUGGUGUUAAUUCAUUUUUGGAUUUUGCCUUUUUUAAAGGUAGACCACAAGGACAAGAAAUUCUUUGUCCUUGUUCUAUAUGUAACAACUUUAGUUGGGGCGAAGGGAUGAAGUUUAUGAUCAUCUAAUAAGUAAGGGAUUUCAAAAAGGUUACACUGUGUGGGUUCAUCAUGGCGAAAGGAUAAGUCACAUGGAUAGUGAUCCUGAUGAGGUUGAAGUCAAUGACGAAUUUGUCGACGACAUUCAUAGGCUGCUAACGAGACGUUUCGACAUGUGCUUGAAGGAGAUAAAGAUGGUGAUGAGCCAAACGAAGAUGCAAAAAAGUUUUAUAACUUGCUUGAAGAAGGAAAACAAGAGUUAUAUCCUGGUUGUAAAAAAUUUUUGACAUUAUCAUUCGUUAUCUGAAUGUAUAUGUUGAAGACUCUUAAUGGUUGGAGCAACGCAUCCUUUACUGCUCUACUUGAAUUAUUGAAAGAAGCGAUUCCUCAUUUGAAUAUUCCUGAUUCUUUCAACAUGAAGAAAAAUGAAGAAAUUGCCACCCUUAAGCAGCAACAUGCAACUGAGAAAGCAACAUUAGAGGGUAAGGUUGAUGUGAUGCAAAAAGAAGUAGAUGAACUAAAAUCGCUUGUUAAGUUGAUGCUACAACAAAAAAAGCUCAGAAGUGGACCUUGACAUGUUAGCUGCUCAAUUAGGAAGCACUUUAGGCAAUAUGAACAAUGAUGCGCAUGAAGAGGUAUUAUUUGUUGUUAAAGUUUCUAUGUUAUCAUAUCUUAAAUAAUGGUUGAUUAUGAUGAUGUUGAUUCAAUUGUUUUGUGUAUCCAAAUAGAAGAAUGCUAUGAUAUAUAUGUUUGUUCUCUCUAUCUCUUAAACAUUUUUAUUUAACAUUAUUAGUAUUAAAGAUGUGUAGUUUUAUAUUUGAUUUUUUUGUUUAUAGGAAAACUAUAUUGAAGGGGAAAUCGAACUUGAUUAAGGUCAAAUUUUUAAAAGCAAAUAUUACAAAGUAAAAUUGAUAAAUUUGGGGACAUGAUGAUAAAUCUAUUUACUACUUAGCUAUUUCAACUUUUUUUUGUUAUUAUAUUUUUUGCAAAAUUAGAUGAUAUAGUUCGAGGUUGUCAUGACUUAGGCUAUAGUAUUAUGGUAUUUGGAAAAAUGAUGAUGAUAUAAGUACAAGUAGUUAUGACCUAGACUAGUAUUAUGUUAUCUUGCAAUGAUAAUAUAAUGUGAUUGUGGAUCUUACAACAAUUUUUAUAAGUUAAAUUUGAUGGGAAAUGUUCAAUUAUUUUUCUUUAGUGACUUGAUUCAAAUAGUUUAGAUUAUUUAUUGACACUAAAUAAUUAAAAAAAUUGAAAUUAAUUUCAUUCAUGAGAAAACUAUUGUAAAUAAAGAAUUAUAUAUUACAAAAAAACUGUUGUCAAAAGUUACAAAAGACAAUGGUGUUAAAACCGUUGUCAAGAUGAUUACAUAAUGGCAACGGUUUAAUACUGUUGCCAAAACACGACACCAAUGGAAAUCUUUAAAACUGUUGUCUUAGAUGAUUAUAAAAUGGCAAUGGUAUUAAAAUCGUUGCCGAAAAAUGACACCAACAGUAACGCUUGAAAACCAUUAGCUAUGUGAAUAAUAAAACUACAACAGUUUAAAACCGUUGCCUAUCCAGUUACGGUUUUAAACCGUUGGAUCAUUAAUAAGAACAGUUCUAAAUUGUUGCUUAUUGAGUAACGGUUCGAAACCGUUGUUUAAAUUUUCCUUCAAAACCGUUGUCUAUGCCAGUAACUGUGGCAACGGUUUUUUUGUUACCGUUGUCUAUGAGCAUUGGUAACGGCCGCAUAUACCACAGGUCAAAAACUGUUGCCAAAGCGUUGCCUAAAGUUUUAGAAACGGUUUUUUUAUCUACGGCAACGGUUUUUUACCGUUGCGAAAAUCCUUAUUUGUUGUAGUGCCCCCACCCUCUUUGAAUGAACCCUAAGCCACUAAUUGAGACUCUGAGUGCAACCACCCCCUCUGGUAACCCCAGCCAGCCUUGUCUCUCUGCUCUCUCGAGCUCGGCGUCGGCAGCCCCUCACCCUCACCUCAUCACUCUCUCAUCUCUCCCCUUCGUCGGAACCAGUGAAGCAGUAUUUGCUCCCUUGGGUGGUGGUGGUGGUAGUCGUCUUCUUAACCAGAAUUUAAAAAAUGCCUUCAUCUCAAACACCAUCAAACACGCCACCAUCUCAAGAACAAGCAUCAUCGGCAGCUCCUGAUAUUACAACAAAGAAUUUAUAAUAAUAGAGUGAAGAUUGAUCCUGCUUGGGGUUAUUGUAAAUAAAUUGUGAAAAAAUCAGAAAAAAUCACUAUGAUGUGCAUAUAUUAUGACAAACCUGUUAGGAGAGGUGGGAUUAAUCGAUUUAAUUAUCACUUGGCUGGAAAAGAAAGAAAUGUUGAGAAGUGUAAAAAGGUGCCACCAGCUAUUGCCUAUCAAUUUAAGCAAAAUAUUGAAGAAUUUAUGAAUAAAAAGAGGAAAACUCAAGAAAUCAAUUUGAGCAAAAUAUUGAAGAAUUUAUGAAUAAAAAGAGGAAAACUCAAGAAAAUUAUGCAGAAAGUUAUGGUGCAUGUGAUGAAGUUGAAAGAGAAUUUGAUAGAAUGGAAGAGCUUGAAGCACAACAACAACAACAUUCAAGAACAAGGUUGCCACCACCUACAUCUAGGAAAGGGAAAAAAAACUAUUGGAAUAGAGACUUUUUUUUCCAUCUUCAACAACACCUAGAGCCCAACCAACUGUAAAAAGUGUAUUGCAAAGUAAAGAAAUUGUGGAGAAAUGUGACAUUGCCAUUGCAAGAUGGAUGGUUGAUGCUUCUAUGCCAUUUAAUACAAUUAAUUCAGCAUAUUACCAACCAAUGAUUGAUGCUAUUGUAAACAUGGUGCAAGGUAUAAGGGUCCAAACUUUGGUAGAGUUCGUGGGUAUUUGUUGAGCAAGUUGGUGGAUGAUGUAAAAAAGAUGAUUGAACGUUAUCGUAAAAUUCGGAAGCAAACUUGAUGUAUUAUCAUGGCUGAUGGAUGGACUGAUCAUUGUAGGCACACUUUAAUUAACUUCUUGGUUUAUUGUCCUGAAGGAACGAUUUUUCUAAAGUCAGUUGAUGCUUCUCAUGCUUCCAAGGCUGCUCAUUUAUUGUUUAAGAUUUUUAAGGAUGUUGUCUUAUUUGUCGUUCCUGAAAAUGUUGUUCAUAUAGUGAUGGACAAUGCUGCAAAUUAUGUUACUGCUGGAAGGUUGUUGGAAGUUGAAUUUCCUAAGUUGUGUUGGUCUCCUUGUGCUGCGCAUUGUAUUAAUUUGAUUUUGCAACAUAUUGGGAAGUUGGAUGAGGUAAGUGAGACCGUUUCACAUGCUUCCAAAAUUACUAAAUACAUAUAUAAUCAUUGUCAUCCAUUGUAUCUGAUGAGGAAGUUUACUGGUGGGCGAGAAAUACUUCGUCCAGCUCCAACUUGCUUUGCUACCAAUUUUAUAGUUUUGCAGAGUAUUCUAGCUCAAAAAGAUGCAUUAUGAGCUACGGUCACUUCUAAAGAAUGGACAAUCACAACCUAUGCCAAAGAAGCUAAAGCUAAAACAUUUGUGGAUCAACUCUUAGACUUUAAGUUUUGGAAUUAAUGUACGGAUAUUGUCAAACUUAUUGAGCCAUUUGUUCAUGUGCUCCAUAUUGUGGAUAGUGAAGAUAAAGCUGCAAUGGAUUUUCUUUAUCAAGCUUUUUAUAAGGUUAGAGAAGAGAUGGUGAAGAGGUUUCAACGAAGAAAGAAAAUUGUGGAGCCUUACUUGAAGAUUUUGGAUACUCAUGGGGAUUCACAACUUUGCAAAAAUCUUCAUGCUGCUGGCUAUUGGUUAAAUCCUGCUUUUCGAUUCAAUGCUGAAAAACAUAAGCAAAGCACUUCUGGCCUACUAGAUGUAAUUGAGAAAUAUGCUUAUGGUAAUCCAGAAUUGAAUUCUAAGUUGACAAGUGAGAUGAGAAUAUAUAAAAAUGUUGAAGAUAAUUUUGGAAGACAAUCUGCACUACAUAAACAAAACACAGUGAUGCCAGGUAAAUAUUUUAUUUGGUUUUAUCUUUCUUUAUUAGUUUAUUUAUUAACAAAAGCUAAUUGUAAUGCAUUGUCUCUUUUGAUUUUAAGACUAAUGGUGGGAAUCUUAUGGAACUGGAGCACCAAAUUUACAAAAGUUAACCAUUCAUGUUUUAAGUCAAACUUGUAGUUCUUCGGAAUGUGAGCAAAAUUGGAGUAUUUUUUAACACAUCCACACAAAAAAAAGAAUCGGUUAGAACAUCAAAAGAUUAACAAUCUUGUUUUCGUUCAUUAUAACUUGAGGCUACAACAAAGGUAUUUUUCUUUAAAUAUUUAUCUACUUUUAAAAAUUAUUGUUCAUUAAAAUUUAAUCUUUAGUUUAGUAACUAUAUAAAUGGAUAACAUAGGAAUCAAACGAGAAAGUAAAGCUAUGAUCCAAAUUGUCUUGAUGCAUUUAAUGACCAUUUGGAUUGGAUAUUGGAAGAUUCACCACCGUUUUUAACUCCUGAAGAGGUUGAUGCUCUACGACAUGAUUUGGCAAAUAUGUCAAUUCAACCAACUUUAGAUGAUCUUGGUAUCAAUUGCUUGACUAUUUUAAUUGUGACUUGCUAUUACGAAUUAUUCUUGAUAUUGAUUUGUGAAAAAUACACAAAUGUAGAUAAACAUUUUUCUCAUUUUGAUCAAGCUCCAAAUUUGUCUUAUGAAGAUAUUGAUACCGACUUUGAGAUCACUCGUCUUUGUUGAUUUAAAUUGAAAAAGUAUGUUGUACUAGUGACUAAUUUAUUAUCUUUUUUUAGAUCAUUAGUUAUGUUUAAAAAUUGAU